rnacentral:lncRNA from 1 species
CUAGAACGAUUGACACAUUCACAUACAUUAUACUUUCUAUUAAUUAGUUAAACAGAUUUACAGGCUAUUGGCCUCCCACAAGGCAAGAGGAGAUUUGAAUCACUAAAAUGCCUCCCCUCUAUAUCCAAAGUUGAUUUACCAGUGGAUGUUACUAGAACUUUUUGUACUGAGCUAAGCUGUCCAAAUGUACAAUUCACCAGCGAUCACCCUUCCAGGGAAUCAUCCAGGAAAUGGAAGAGAAAAGAAUGUGUUCCGGUCCUGCCCGCCACAGAAAAGAGAGGUGAGGGCGCCAAAAAAUUAGGAAUCUGAUAUGAACAAACAUUAAUACAUAUCCGCCACAGAAAAGAAAGAGGUGAGGGCGCCAAAAAAUUAGGAAUCUGAUAUGAACAAACAUUAAUACGAAUUAGCAGAGUGGAGUACCUACCAAUAAGAGAGCUCCUAGGUGCCAGCACUGAUGUAAGAGAGCGGUUUCCUGUUGAUUGAUGUGUGCGCACUAGCAAGAGCUCAUCUUGUCAUCCACAUACUUUGCUGAGCAAAAGUAAUCAUUGUUCUGCCACCAUGGAAUCUGCUCCUAUUCAGAAUCCGAAUCAAUACUUAGAUACAAUCUCGGUCUUACAGAACGACGUUGACGAGGAAAUGUAAAAGGACUAUCUGAUCGUUCUCUAAUGCUC